GGGACUGUAGCUCAGUUGGUUAGAGCAACGGACUCAUAACCCGUCGGUCCUGGGUUCAAGUCCCAGCAGUCCCA
rnacentral:tRNA from 1 species